UACAGAGGUGGCAAGCGUUGUUCGGAAUUACUGGGCGUAAAGGGCGCGUAGGCGGUCUUGUAAGUCUUGUGUGAAAUCCCUCGGCUUAACUGAGGAACUGCACGGGAUACUGCGAGACUUGAGUUCGGAAGAGGGAAGCGGAAUUCCGGGUGUAGCGGUGAAAUUCGUAGAUAUGGGGAGGAACACCGGUGGCGAAGGCGGCCAUCUGGACGGAUACUGACGCUGAGACGCGAAAGCGUGGGUAGCAAACAGG
rnacentral:rRNA from 1 species